GGCGUUGUGGCUUAGCAGGUAAAGCCACUGCCUGCAGUGCAGACAUCCCAUAUGGGCGCAGGUUCGAGUCCUGGCUGCUCUG
rnacentral:tRNA from 1 species